CCCACCCCUCACAAGUGUUGCUCAUUGUGUGGGAAUGGGAGAUAGUGCUUUCUAAGUAAUGGUGUUCCAGUUAUGGAAUUUGCUUCCCAUCACAGCCCAGGAAGAUACCAGACCCUCCAAGUGUCCCUACUUUCCAGAGACAGUCCCAGAUUUAGAGAAGCAGUCCCGGUUUCUGAUUUGAUCCCGCUUUCCCUUAGGAUGUCCCUGUUUUCAUCGGAGAAAUGUUGGAGGGUAUGGAGUUAUGCAACCACCAAGCCAAGGAGGUAAGCAACUAAAGAACCUUUAGAAGACGUCUGAAGGCAGCCCUGUAUAGGGAAGUUUUUAAAAAUGUUUUAUUGUGUUUUUAUAUAUGUUGGAAGCUGCCCAGAGUGGCUGAGGCAACCACGUCAGAUGGGCGGGGUAGAGAUGAUAAAAUUAUUAUUACUACUAUCAUGGAAUAGGACGUCCCUAUCUUCAUCAAAACUGGGAAAGGAGUACGACAAGGCUAUAUAUUGCCUCCCUGCUUAUUUAACUCAUAUGCAGAAUUCAUCAUACGAAAGGCUGGGCUGGAUGAAUCCCUAGCUGGAAUUAAGAUUGCCGGAAGAAAUAUCAACAACCUCAGAUAUGCAGAUGACACAACCUUGAUGGCAGAAAGUGAGGAGGAAUUAAAGAACCUUUUAUUGAGUGUGAAAGAGGAGAGCGUAAAAUAUGGUCUGAAGCUCAACAUCAAAAAACGAAGAUCAUGGCCACUGGUCCCAUCACCUCCUGGCAAAUAGAAGGGGAAGAAAUGGAGGCAGUGAGAGAUUUUACUUUCUUGGGCUCCAUGAUCACUGCAGAUGGUGACAGCAGCCACGAAAUUAAAAGAUGCCUGCUUCUUGGUAGAAAAGCAAUGACAAACCUAGACAGCAUCUUAAAAAGCAGAGACAUCACCUUGCCAACAAAGGUCCGUAUAGUAAAAGCUAUGGUUUUCCCAGUAGUGAUGUAUGGAAGUGAAAGCUGGACCAUAAAGAAGGCUGAUCGCCGAAGAAUGGAUGCUUUUGAAUUAUGGUGCUGGAGGAGACUCUUGAGAGUCCCAUGGCCUGCAAGAAGAUCAAACCUAUCCAUUCUUAAGGAAAUCAGCCCUGAGUGCUCACUGGAAGGACAGAUCGUGAAGCUGAGGCUCCAAGACUUUGGCCAACUCAUGAGAAGAGAAGACUCCCUGGAAAAGACGCUGAUGCUGGGAAAGAUGGAGGGCACAAGGAGAAGGGGACGACAGAGGACGAGAUGGUUGGACAGUGUUCUCGAAGCUACCAGCAUGAGUUUGACCAAACUGCGGGAGGCAGUGGAAGACAGGAGUGCCUGGCUUGCUCUGGUCCAUGGGGUCACGAAGAGUCGGACACGACUAAACGACUAAACAACAACAAUCUUCAUCAGAGAAAUGUUGGAGGGUAUAUUAUACCUCACUGAUGAGCUUCCAUUGCCUCCUCAAAACAUUUCUAUUCUCCUUGGCCUUGUGGACACACAACAUUGGUUAGCCAAUGGGAAAGAAAAUUGAGAAACGGGGUUAUGCCCAUGUCAGAUAUGAUGGGAAGUACCAUUGUUGUCCAACAUUUUUACUCCCCCCCCCCCCGUUUUUACCCUGCUUUUCAUGGGAAUUUUCCAAGGCAGCUUUUAAGAGCAGUAAAAACAAAAGCAGAGAAAUUUUAAAAGGCACAUUGGGGAAUACAUCAGCAGAAAAGUAUUACUACGGUAUCCAGGAGUCAGCACAGACAGAAGCCUCUUGUUCGUAGAAAACCUUGCAGUCAGAUCUUCACAGCUAAUUUUUUCAUUAAAUAUUCAGCGUAUAUUCCCCAACAAACUCACAGAGGAAAUCACUGAGGAGAAUUUGGGGAGCAUUUAAAAAAAAAAAAAAUUGAGCAGAGGAAAAUGCUGGUUUUAGUCUCACUCUUCCACAGAGGCUUUUGUUGAUUGCUAAGCUAGGCCCUUAAUCCCUCGAUGAGGGCAGAAACCUUUUGAAGGCUCCACAUCAAGGUGCUAUUAUCAAAUAUAUGCUUCUAAUUUAACUUCCCAUGCUAUAUUAAAGUACCCUAAGGCAAGUGUUGGUGUUGGGUUUGUGAGAAAAGCCUAGUGUUGGUGUUUAUCUGAUGACCUUUUUUUGCAAAGGGCAAUGUUGAGGUUAUCCAACGCACAUACACACACAAAAAAAAGGAGGGAAAAAUUGGGGCAGCAAGAGGGGGUGUGCGAAAUUGAGACCACAUGUAAGCCAGGCUUUCUUGUUCUUUCUUAUAACUAUUUCUUUCCAGAACAGCCCAAAUAAUUGACUUUUCCUCAAAUACAUGAGGUAGUAGUACACUACAUCACAUGUUGAAAGCGUAUUUCAAGCACACCACUUCCCACCAAGAAUUGUGGGAAUUUACUCCUCACAGAGCUACAAUUCCCAGCACCCUUCGUGAACUACAGUUUCUGGGAUUCUUUGGGGGGAAGUUAUGUGAUUAAUGUAUGGUGUACAUAGAGUCUGAAGCUCCGGUGAUCAAAGUGCAUUUCACAUACAGUGGUGCCUCGCAAGACGAAAAGAAUCCGUUCCGCGAGUCUCUUCGUCUUGCAGUUUUUUCGUCUUGCGAAGCAAGCCCAUUAGCAAUUUAGCGGAUUAGCGCUAUUAGCGGCUUAGCGGGCUUAGCGGAUCAGCUGAUAAGCGGCUUAGCGGCUUAGCGGAUCAGCUGAUAAGCGGCUUAACGGAUCAGCUGUUAAGCGGCUUAACGGAUCAGCUGUUAAGCGGCUUAGCGGAUCAGCUGAUAAGCGGCUUAGCGAUCAGCUGUUAAGUGGCUUAGCGGAUCAGCUGUUAAGCGGCUUAGCGGCUUGGGAAAAAGGGGGGAGAGGAAAAAAACCCCGCAGGAACUCGCAAGACAUUUUCGUCUUGCGAAGCAAGCCCAUAGGAAAUUCGUUUUGCGAAGCACCUCCAAAACGGAAAACCCUUUCGUCUAGCGGGUUUUCCGUCUUGCGAGGCAUUCGUCUUGCGGGGCACCACUGUAGUUAACUGAAUACCUAAGAUGUAACAGAUUUUUGUAUGAGUGUAUAUUUUACCAGAAAAAAGUAAUUGAUGUGCCAAUGUUAUGUGGGAUGUGAAGGGUGUAAUAACAGGUUAGUAAAUGUUUAUUUGCAUUAGGUAUGUAAUGCUGAUUGAUCAGGAGAAUAACUAGGUUAAGUUAUCCCUCCUGAGUCAAUCUUCUUACGGGGGGAGGUAUGUGGCGUUUGCCUCCUAGGUGGGUCAUAAGGAAAGGGUUAAAUGAGUGUGAUGUGAUUGGCCAGUGGGAACCGAAGGGGAGGAGUUAGAGUUAGAGUGGGAGUUGAGUGGAAGUCAGUUGGGAGUUGGAAAAGGAAGAGGGAAGAUAAGUCUGCGGGUUGGUCAAGUUGUGUUGUGAGAUUGUGAGAGGAACUGUUAGGUGGAGUCAGAUAGAUAGUUGGGAUAAUGAGUUUGAAGUUGUUAGGUAUGUAUAGGACAGUAAAGAAACUAAGAUUAAGAAACUGCCAAGAAAAAUUAACUGAAACCAUAAGCUUGUUCAUGCCUUUAAAAUAAACUUGAUUAUUUGUUAAUGUUUUUUAAAAAGUGCAUUUCACAUUGGAGCCUGUCCUGCAAGGGAAGGAGCCUGCCUUUGGGGGGCCAUGAAGGAUUCUUCUCACCAUUCAAAUACCAGCUCCAUGCAGGAGACUUUGUGGAUAUUUAAGUUAUAAUUAGAAAAAUCUUAAUAUUUAUUCAUAAAGGAAACAGUUUAUAAGAAGUAAAUAAGGAGGCUAGAUACAAGAUAAAGGAAGUCUUUUAUUUUGUUGUUUGUAUUGUUGUAUGUUAUGCUCACUGUAUGUUAUGUUCAUGUUUAAUGAGGGUGGAUUGUGUAUUGGGGGGGUAUGUUAUGUUGUAAAUAAAAUUCCAAUAAAAAUUUAAUAAUAAAAAAAUCAAAUACCAGCUCCAGAGGAGUUAUUUUCCUCAGCAUAGCAGUAGGGAAGAAGUUAAAUGCUACAACUUUCCCUGGAUACUACAGGCCUUGGUGAUACAGCAUCAUUAUCAGAGAUAAUUAGAUGGAAAAAUAUGAGUGGCAGUUAAGACAGCCAGCAGUUAUAUGUAGCUAAGUUAGAGGAGUCUCAGUGAAAUCAAUAAAUCUAAUUUCAUCAUGUCCAUGGGUUUUCUCAGAGUGGGACUAAAUCUAGCUAUAGCCUCAUAUAGAGGACAGGCUUACAAUUGAAGGAAUCCUCUAUUUGAAGAAAUGCCCAGUCAAAGUCCUAUUUUAAAUAUAUAGAGCCAUAUGGAGGGAGAGCAGGAGCCUUGAAGCCAUCAACAUUUAUUUAUUUGCUGUAUUUUUCCCUCCACUUUUCAGGCCAUCAUAAGCUCCCAAAGCAGCUCACAUAAAUUAAAGGAGAGGGAAAUGCUGUAUUAGCAGACCUACGUAAACACACGAGUGGAUGGAAAAGGUAGAGGGUGCAGAUGAGUUCUUUAAGGGAUGAUUUAUAAGUAGGGAUGGAGGAGGGAUUCAGUUCAAUUCAAAACUACAUCUGCCUAAUUCACACAAAUCAAAACACAGCCACCGUCAAAAUUCACACUUCUCUGAAUUUUGCGGUGUUGUUCUCCAGCCAAGCAAUGUGUACAAAAUGCAAAUACUAGGGUAAAUGUGUAUGAGAAUGCAUAUAUUAGUUAAAAUAAAGUGCAACGAUGCAUUCUAUUAAUGGGAAUUGCUUUGCAAAAAUGUGUAUAUUAGGCAAAAUUGCAAUAAUGUGUACCUUAGGAAAAAUUUGCACUAAAAGGCAAAUGAAUUUUCACGAGGACUUCAAAACACAAUUCACAAGCUGACGUGGAAAUGUUGAGAACUGAAUUAAGAUUGGGAAAAUGAAAAACUGAAAGAAACCAAAACUGAAAGCUGGCAUUUAUAUCCAUUUGCGGCUGGUGUGAUCUUCCCUUGCAGGAAUCAUUUUGCACACAUGAAACAGAAACUGUUUAGUUGCUACCAGACAAGCAUAGUUUUUCAACCAUAUUUUACCAGGCUUUGAAACUGACAUCUCACCCUUUCUUUGCAAAAUAUCCCCUGGAGGACGUUGGUGCUAACAUGUCAGUUAUAUACUGACAGUCACACAGACUGUUACCAGAUAAUUACAGCUAUGGAAAUGUUAGUCAGAUUUGGACCUCACAGAGACUAGAGCUGUAAUUCUGCAUAUAUGUACUUGGGAGAAAGCAACUCCACUAAAUCCAAUGGGACAGUUUUUAUAGCUUGAUCCUCUGCGUGAUUAUUACCUGGAAGUAAGUCCCACUGAACAGGGGUAAGAUCAAAGCAAAAAAAUCAGCUUUCAGCCUCAACCUGGAUACUGCCCUUUGCAAAUCUCAUUGAAAUUGUGCUCUCAUUGCAACUGUGGCUUUGUGCCAUUCUUGUGUAUUUCAAUAGCACUUCUCAGGAGAACCUCCUAGUGUUUUGUGCUUUAAACAGUAAUGCUUACGCCACUUAACAAUGGCCAUUCUCUGGGGUGCGCCAAGCAUCACUCCCUCUAAUAGCGAGAAGUUUGUGCCAACAGGACUGGAACCAAAGCAGAGUCCCAGAGGAAAAAAGAGGGAGAUCUCAGCAUCUUGAGUAGAACUCCAAGAGGAGGAGGAGGAGGAGGAGGAGGAGGAGGAGGAGGAGGAGGAGGAGGAGGAGGAGGAGGAGGAGAAGAAGAAGAAGAAGAAGAAGAAGAAGAAGAAGAAGAAGAAGAAGAAGAAGAAGAAGAAACAACCCAAGUAUGACUAAAGAGCCAUAAAGCUUAUUCCACUGAUGCUCAGUAGUCACAGAAUGUUGAAUGUCAGCUAGAAAAGAAAAACUGAAAACUUUAAUGGGAUGAAUUAGCUGGCUGGCUGAAAUACUGAAUUAAACUAAAGGUGCAGUGAUCUUGUUGCAAUUCUUACACUGUCAUCUUGCCCCCUGAAAUGAGCAAGUUCUGCCUGCUUAAUUUUUACCCAUCCUGUUUUAGACACAUCUAUCCAACUGGGCUCUACAGUGUGUCUUUAAACAGGCCCACCCCAUUAUUUUAUAGCAAGGUUAUGCCUGGCAGAAUAUGCUUCUCUUUAUGUACCAACAGUUACUGACAUAUCCCUGCCAGGUUAUGAAUCUUUUAUGAAUAGUUAUUUUAUUUCGGACAGAGCGAUGGAGAAAUUUCUGAAACAACAAUGGGAUAUUAGCUCCACCCAAUGCAUGAUGCAGAACAGCAGGCAUAGGCAAACUUGGCCCUCCAGAUGUUUUGGGGCUACAACUCCCAUCAUCCCUAGCUAACAGGAUCAGUGGUCAAGGAUGUAGAAUUGUAGUCUCAAAACAUCUGGAGGGCCAAGUUUUCCUGUGCCUGGAGAACAGCAACAACCGGGAAAAGAUAGACAUAACGUUUUAUAAAGACAGGAAGAAACAUCACGGACAGAAUAAUUGCCACACACAGGAAGAACAAGGAUAUAGUUUGAGUGCCUCACCUGUAGUUCUUUGGGGAACCUGUAUUUUGUAAAGGGUGCUGGGAAUCAUAGCUCUGUGAGGAGCACUGUUCUGAGAAUUCUUUGGGAUGUGUAUUAAAGUGGUAUAAGAGUGCUUUAAAUGUAUUGUGUGGAUGUGACUUCAGGUAAUAAUGGUUUCAUCCUCUCCAGAACACAGUGAGCUAGACUUAAGAAGCAUGGUGCUGGGAUGAAAUCAUUAAUUUCACCAAGUUCUUGGUGGGCUUUGAAGUAGACCCUUUAUUGUAACUGACCAUCCUCUCUUGAACGUGUUAGUCAGUCCCAAAGGCAAUUUAACGGCUCAAAAACAUCAGCCAAUGAACCUUCAACCAACCUAACACCCGUCAUUUAAAAUCAGCUCUGCAUUUGAAAGUGCAAAAAUUCAGAAGAAUUGGUUAUUUAGUCAUUUGCUCCAUUUUUAUAUUUACAUCCCAUCUUUCCUCUCAAAGGAUGAAAAGAUUCUUGGAGCCAAGAUGGAAGAAGAUUUGAAGAGACAUUUCCUGCACCCUAGCCCUAGCAAGAAAAUAAGCAGAUAAAUAUUGUAUUUUUCAAAGACCAGUGUCAUUUGCUCUGAGUGACAAGAAUGCAAACAUGAUUUCAACUACUUGAAGGGAAAAUUAUCAGUCAGAAAUCAUCUGUCCUAGACUGCAUGUUAGUUGACAGAAUGUUCCUCUUUCUACCAACAUCUGCUUCUACCAACAUCUGAAAGCUUUAUGGCAAGACACUCUCCUGUAUAACUUAGAAAGAUGAAUGGCAGUUAUAUAUAUUUUGUUUUUGACAGGGCAGUUGUUCCAGCAAGAGAAGGCUCUGAAGGAGUCAGAUGAGCCAGCCACAGGUGCCAUACAGCAGUGAGCAAUUUCAGGAGCCUUCCCCAUUUUGUUACAGCACCAUGAAGAAUUGCAUCUCCAAAGAGGUUCAAGCACAAUCCUUAAGGACGUGUGGUUAUCUAAACAAAACAAAACAAAUCCUUCCAGUAGCACCUUAGAGACCAACUGGAAGGAAUUUUUUUAUUUUGUUUCGACUAUGGCAAACCAACAUGGCUACCUACCUGUAACUAGAAGUGUGGUUAUCUGAGGACUAUGUUCACAUUUUUGUUCCCAGGAAGCACAUGCAACCUUGGCUGAAGAGGAUAUGUUUCAUACCAUGGAUGGUAACAUACCAUGAAGAUGAGCUCAUGAAAAGUCAGGCUCCACAUUGACUUACACUGUGACAUUCUUUAUCAAGUAAAAUUAUCAUAUCAACCACUGGCAUAGAUGUUCUGGUCAACAUGUGGGUGGAAGGCGGCUUGUAGUCAAAUCAUGUUUUGAGAGUAAAAUAAUGAUGAUUUGAGGUGUGUGAUGUUUGGGGGGAUCAUCCCUGUACAAAUUGUUCCCUGGAUUAUAACAUUUCAGCAGUUGCGACUACCAAACAGACUUUUUGAGAAAUAAUAGGGCUCAACUUUAGAAGAUGACAUCCUCCUUUUUAGGGAGAGAGAGGGACACAGCUCCCACCCUAGGACCAC